GACGAACGCUGUCGGCGUGCUUAACACAUGCAAGUCGAACGGAAAGGCCCUGCUUUUGUGGGGUGCUCGAGUGGCGAACGGGUGAGUAACACGUGAGUAACCUGCCCUUGACUUUGGGAUAACUUCAGGAAACUGGGGCUAAUACCGGAUAGGAGCUCCUGCUGCAUGGUGGGGGUUGGAAAGUUUCGGCGGUUGGGGAUGGACUCGCGGCUUAUCAGCUUGUUGGUGGGGUAGUGGCUUACCAAGGCUUUGACGGGUAGCCGGCCUGAGAGGGUGACCGGCCACAUUGGGACUGAGAUACGGCCCACACUCCUACGGGAGGCAGCAGUGGGGAAUAUUGCACAAUGGGCGGAAGCCUGAUGCAGCAACGCCGCGUGCGGGAUGACGGCCUUCGGGUUGUAAACCGCUUUCGCCUGUGACGAAGCGUGAGUGACGGUAAUGGGUAAAGAAGCACCGGCUAACUACGUG
rnacentral:rRNA from 1 species